rnacentral:rRNA from 1 species
UACGAAGGGGGCUAGCGUUGCUCGGAAUCACUGGGCGUAAAGGGUGCGUAGGCGGGCCUUUUAGUCAGGGGUGAAAUCCUGGAGCUCAACUCCAGAACUGCCUUUGAUACUGAGGAUCUUGAGUUCGGGAGAGGUGAGUGGAACUGCGAGUGUAGAGGUGAAAUUCGUAGAUAUUCGCAAGAACACCAGUGGCGAAGGCGGCUCACUGGCCCGAUACUGACGCUGAGGCACGAAAGCGUGGGGAGCAAACAGG